rnacentral:lncRNA from 1 species
GGAACUCAGAGGUCCCCGAGUGGAUAUCCACGUGGAAAGGAUGUUGGCAGCCCGGGUGACCUCGGAGUCACGGCUGGAUCCACCCUCCCGCCUGAUUUUCUUAACUCCACCCUGCUGAGAAGAUGCCCUCCAGGAGGCUGUGCUUGCAGACUCCACGGAGCCUCUCUCAAGAUUUCCUGAACCUUGUGGAUUUACAGUAAGACGAAGUUCCCUGGGGAGUAAUUCUGGUGGAUGCAAAUUCUGGAGUAAUACACCUGGCCUGCCUAGAGAUGUUACAAGUGGCCUAAUGGAUUUUUCUAGCCUGGACGCCCACUGGGGACAAGGAUCAUUACUGACAGGAUUGUAUCUCUACCCUUGACUCCAUGGGAAUAUUUGGUCUGCUCUCUCGGGCUCCCUCUAAAAUGGUUGACAGAGCUGAGGCUCACAACAGGCUGAACAUGUGCCUGAUGCUUUGCACAGGGUCAGGACCAGCUUCUGGGGAGGGUGAGCAU